rnacentral:lncRNA from 1 species
AUACUUGACCGGUUAUGGUGCCAAAGUCAUCCUUUCAAGCCAUCUAGUAUAGAAUCUAUCUCUAUGUAUCGAUUUCAUGUAUUUUUAGUUUCUGGUUGUGUCUUAUUUUGAUCUUUGGAUUAUAUUCUUGCCAUUGGUGGCUUUGAUUUGGAGAGGUACAUUUGUUCUUGUUUCUUAUUUUUCAAUUGUUUUAGAAAAAAGGAAUUAUUAGUGUAGGCACAAUGAGUUUUGUUUUAAUCUUGUCGAUCCUGCAAAUUGGUACAUAUACUUGAUUUAUUUUCAUUUUUUUUGUUGACCAUAUACUGAAAUCAUUCUCAUUUCCUACCAAAUACAUUUAAAAACUUUUGGUGUCUUUCUCUUCUUAAUGUGUCUAAUUGUCUAGUUUUUUUAAAAAAAUUUACAACUCACUCUUCUAUCUAAGUGUUUAGUUUUUAUCUAAUCCUCUAAGUUGUACUCACAUUUUUCUUCCCUUGUCAAGUGCCUUGUUUUGUUGCCACUUACUGUCAUGAGCUUAAGUGGAUGGUUAAAUAUUUCUUCUUUAUUUAAUAUAUUGUUAUGCUCUCCCUGUCCAAACCUGAAUAUAUGAUUUAUGCAUGUCUUCUUGAUCUUUNNNNNNNNNNNNNNNNNNNNNNNNNNNNNNNNNNNNNNNNNNNNNNNNNNNNNNAGUUAUGAGCUCAUGACUCAUUGUAAACUUAUUUUCAUAUUCUUCUGGCUCUGUUUGGACCUUUUAAUAUGAUAUAAUUUUCAUAUUGUUCUCAUUAUUAUACUCCUUGUUUGUUUGUUUGUUUGGUUUUUUUUUGUUGAUAUGGUCAUUGUUCGUGGUCAUGGUAUGAUUGAACCUACCUAAUAGAGCUUAUUUGGAACAUCUUUGGGAUGAUUUCUCUGGGUUUUUGAGGAUUAAUUUUUUUUUUAUAAAAAAAGCAAAGACUCUUCAUUCAAACAGUCCUUAAACAGAAAUAAUCAUGUCUACCACAGAAACAUGUUCCAAUUUUUGAACACAAAAUAAGUAAUAUGUGACUACAAUGAGAGAUACUCUUAGCAUCGCAUGUCUUUGAUUUAAGCAACUGUCAUGUUAAUUUAGAAUGUGUGGCUUAACUUGAGUGUAUUGUCCGAAAACAGGUUGAUGUGAGAUUUAGGAGGAGGGUGUAUGAGCUUAUGUCCCUUUCAAAUAAUAUGUGGAAUUUUAGAAGUAUGAGGGUGUCAAGUGAAUGAGUGGUAAAAAGCUUAAUUUUUGUGUGAAUAUAUUUUUUUGCUCAAGUUUAAAUGAUUAAGAAUGGUUUAAUAAACUCACUUUCCUUUAUUGGUGGUGUAGGCUUCAUUGGUAGUGUAUGCUCUUCUUAAAUCCUGUUGCUCCUUCCUUCCUUUGCAGGUAAACAUCUUCUAGUCCAAUCCUAAAAGAAAUUUUUUGGCACACAUUUGAAUUUUUUUUUUAGUUAUGUUCAUAAAUUACAAAAAUAAACCAUAAAUUUACUUACCUAUUAGAGAAUAUCAGGGAGUUAUAAAUGUAGAAGCAACACAUGCAUCUAUGAAAUUUGAGUUUCCACUUUGUUAACAUUCUUGAUUGAUAUGUAUGUCAAUGUUUCUAAGGAACAAAUAAUAACUAAUUGGAAACUUCUAUGAACUUUGUAUGGUUGUGCAUCUCAAUGNNNNNNNNNNNNAUGUUUUCAUUGUCUAUUUGCAGAAAAGUAAUUGUUAAUAGAUUGCACCACAAAUUAUUUGGUAUGACUCAAAUUCUUUUACUAAUGACAUAUUCAUGUAAUACCAAAUUAAAUUUGAUAGAAAAUCAUUUCUUUACCUUUGUGAAACACAAGUAAGAUCCUUGAAAGAAGUGAGGCUCACCUAUAAAAAAAAAUCAAAGAACAAAAAUUACAAAAUUUAAGUCUCAAACAAAGUAACAUAAUAAAUUGGAUUUGGAUCCUCUCCUUUUAUUGUUCUUAGCCUCAUGCUUUGUUCAUAUAUUCAUGCUCCACUAAAAGAUUGACUGUGAAUGGAGAUCUAAUUAAAUGAUUUUAGCAUUUUCAGGCUCAAGAAAUCAAUGUAAACAAACAAAAACGAAAUGAAGAUUGGUCAUGUUAUGGCUGUUUAGUGGUAAAGGAAGCUGAAUGAAGGGAUGGUUGUUUAGUGCUGAAGGAAGAUGAAUGAAGAGAAGACUAUAUAUUGUUAAAAUUUUGUUCUAAUAAUACCAAAUUGUCCUUCUACUUGGUCUCCAAGAUUUGUUGUUAUUAGUAUAAAUGUGUAAUAAGAUGGGGAGGAGCGUCAAGAGACUUUUGUUCCAAUCCAAACUCUUGGCAUUACACAUAAAGACAAAAUUUGUAAGGAUAAUAAUAUAAAAUCAUUUAGAAGAAGUACAACAAAACACUAGACAUGAGCUGACAUUGUGAGGAUAAACAAGUAAAACAAAAGUGAUAAAAAUAAAAGUGGGAGUUUUGUUGUAACAAAAAUAAACGAAAAUGAAAAAUUAAUAGGGGCUAUCUAGGUAGUGGGGUCCACUCCAAAGUGGGACACUCCCUAUAAAAAACUUUUUCCCAAAUUUGAAAGCUAACUUUGGAUGUGGCUUCAUUUGGAGUAAAAUAGCAAUCACUUAUGCCACCACGUGUCAACAAUUUCAAUGAACAGUGCUUUUAAGGCACUAAGCAGUUUUCCUCUAUUAUAAGGGUUUUUGAUUAUAUGAUAUAUUUGAUUCAAUAAAAAUAAAUAAAUUCAUGAUAUAUGUUGCAAUAUGUAAUGUACUUUUUCAGGUCU